rnacentral:rRNA from 1 species
GCUCUUUGUUUUAUAAGUAUAAAGAGUCGGGCCUGCCCGGUGAGAAAUUUAACGGCUGCAACGAGAGUUGUACUAAGGUAGCGUGAUAAUUUGUCUUUUAAUUGAAGACUGGUAUGAAUGGUUUGACGUAGAAAAGCUGUCUCUGCAGAAUUAUAUAAAGUUUCCUUUUAAGUGAAAAGGCUUAAGUUUUUGUAAAAGACGAGAAGACCCUGUCGAGCUUGAUUAGAUUUUUAAUAUUUUAUAAAUUUAAGUUUUAUUGGGGCAAUAUAGACCAAGUUAUUGAUCUAUUUAUAAACUAGGAUCCUUUAGGAAAGAAAAGGGCAAAAGUUACCGCAGGGAUAACAGCGUUAUCUUUUUUAAGAGAUCUUAUUGAGGAAAAGGUUUGCGACCUCGAUGUUGGAUUAGGAAAACUUUUUGGUGUAGCAGCUAUUAGAAGUAAGACUGUUCGUCUUUUAAUUUCCU